CCUGGGUUUGCUACAGGCUGUUGGCCCUUCAGGAAUAUGCACUUUCCCUGUCUUUUCUUGUGCCUCUUGCCUCCUCCACACAUUUCCUCAGGCCUCUGGGGAGACUUGGCAGCAGAGAUGACUUGUAGCUGAAAGCCUCCGGAACGAUAUCGAUCUCACUGGCUCCUGACUCCAGACGGCAUCGCUUAGGGGAUGGUGGUCAGCCGCCUCCGUGGCUCCAGCUUUUAUGGGGUUUUAGAGACCAUCUCUGGUCAUCUAGACAGGAUGUCCGGGUUCUGGGUCCCUCCUCUCAGCCCCCGCUCCAUCCCCUGACUCCUGCUUGGUCCUGGGAAACUUCACAUUCCAGGGUUAGGUCCUGGGAAAGUGUGAGGUGUCCGUAAGGUCACCAGCCCCGCUCUGCCACCUCCUCCAGCACCAGAUACUUCCUGAGAACUGUCUGAUGGCAGCACCACUGGCCCUCCCUCGGGGACUCGGGUGUUUGGAGAUUUCAGGAGUGGGGGCAGGUGGUGGGGAGGCCUUGAUGAGGGCAGGAGACCGCCAGGAGCGAUGAAGAAAGCCUCCCAGCCGUGGAAACCUCAGGGCCACUUUGGCACUCUCAGGCCUCUGAUCUCACCAAAGUGCCCCAGGUCUUCAUGAAAGAGAAGCUGAAUCUGAUGGAAAAGAAAAAAUAAAAGAUGGAAGUGGACAUUUGGCCUCCCUGCUGUCUCUGCCCUGGUCCUGGGAAGACAUUGGUUUUAAGAAUGGAGGAUGUAGAACACCAUACUCAAAAAUAAGCUCAAAAUGGAUUAAAGAAAGAUGGUUCUGAUGAUCCUAUUUGUUGGGCAGCAAAGGAGACAGACAUGAAAACAGGCUUUUGGUUUCAGACGGGGAGGGAGAGGGUGGGAUGGCUUGAGAGAAUAGUGUUGAAACAUACAUUGUUCAGUUUCUCAGUUGUGUCAAACUCUUUGUGACCCCAUGGACUGCAUCACACCAGGCUUCUCUGUCCUUCACCAUCUCU
ensembl:lncRNA